rnacentral:rRNA from 1 species
UUUAUGGAGAGUUUGAUCCUGGCUCAGGAUGAACGCUGGCGGCGUGCCUAAUACAUGCAAGUCGAGCGAACAGACGAGGAGCUUGCUUCUCUGACGUUAGCGGCGGACGGGUGAGUAACACGUGGAUAACCUAAGUAAC